UUUUUCGAGUAUUUUCGUGCCCGAAUUUUAUUCUUUUUUAUCCCUUUUUAUUUUUGAAUUUUGUCAAUAUGUGCUAAAUAAAUAAAUAGGAUUUUUUAUAACUUAAUUUUAUUUUUAUUUUUCUUAUUUUUAUUUUUACUUGUUUUUAUUUUAUCAAUUCAUUUUUUAUCCUUCUUUACAUUAAUGAUACACAUAAGGGGCAUUUUUGGAUUUUUGAAAAUAUUGAAACCUUAUGUGUCCCCUAAAUAAACCAACACAAGGCAUUAAUGAAAAC
rnacentral:lncRNA from 1 species